rnacentral:rRNA from 1 species
UGCAGUCGAACGAAUGUAGAAAUACAUUAGUGGCGGACUGGUGAGUAACGUGUGAGCAAUCUGCCUCUAACUGGGGGAUAACACUUAGAAAUAGGUGCUAAUACCGCAUAAGACCACAUGAAGGCAUCUUCGAGGGGUCAAAGAUUUAUCGGUUAGAGAUGAGCUCGCAUCCCAUUAGCUAGUUGGUGAGGUAACGGCUCACCAAGGCGACGAUGGGUAGCCGACCUGAGAGGGUGAUCGGCCACACUGGGACUGAGAUACGGCCCAGACUCCUACGGGAGGCAGCAGUCGGGAAUAUUGGGCAAUGGAGGAAACUCUGACCCAGCAACGCCGCGUGAAGGAAUAGAAGGUCUUCGGAUUGUAAACUUCUGUCGCGAGGGACGAAGAAUGACGGUACCUCGUAAGAAAGCCCCGGCUAACUACGUGCCAGCAGCCGCGGUAAUACGUAGGGGGCAAGCGUUGUCCGGAAUGACUGGGCGUAAAGGGAGUGUAGGUGGCAUAAUAAGUUAUAUGUGAAAGCCCGUGGCUUAACUGCGGAACUGCAUAUAAAACUGUUAAGCUUGAGUGCAGGAGAGGUAAGCGGAAUUCCUAGUGUAGCGGUGGAAUGCGUAGAUAUUAGGAAGAACACCAGAGGCGAAGGCGGCUUACUGGACUGUAACUGACACUGAGGCUCGAAAGCGUGGGGAGCAAACAGGAUUAGAUACCCUGGUAGUCCACGCCCUAAACGAUGGAUACUAGACGAAGCGGAGUAUAAUCUGCUGUGUCGAAGCAAACGCGAUAAGUAUCCCGCCUGAGGAGUACGGCCGCAAGGUUGAAACUCAAAGAAAUUGACGGG